UACGAGUGCCCCAAGCGUUAUCCGGAAUCAUUGGGCGUAAAGGGUGUGUAGGCGGUUUCCUUAGUCUCCUGUCAAAGCCUUGGGCUCAACCCAAGACCUGCGGGGGAAACGGGGAGACUAGAGGAUGCGAGAGGUGAAUGGAACCCAUGGAGUAGGGGUGAAAUCCGUUGAUAUCAUGGGGAACACCGAAAGCGAAGGCAAUUCACUGGCGCAUUCCUGACGCUGAGACACGAAAGCGUGGGUAGCGAACGGG
rnacentral:rRNA from 1 species